CUUCUCUUCUCCACGUUUUUCUACCUCUGCAUGGUUGUUUAGAUGUCCUUGAUGAGUGCAUUUCGGCUUCAUUACAAUUUGACAAGGUGCAAGGAGAUCUCGAUCAUCAGCUGCCAGACACAACAUUGGGAUUAAAGAUGAGAGCAAUGAAAUAAUGUUCAGAGAUGAAGAUAUUAAGCAACUGGAGAACAUACAUGAGCUGGUGCGAGGGCCAAAUUACGUUGAAGUGAUUUGUGGUUGCACAAGCAAGAAAUAUGGAGAUCAAGUCGGCAAGCUUAAGAUUUCUUCCACCGGCCAAUUCCAAAUAAAUUGUGAAUGCUCUGCACCUUCAACCUGCGAGGAAGUGGGGGUGUUAGAAGAAAUUGGCAAAUUGACACCAGAGGAAUUCGAGAAGCAUUCAAGGGAGAAAGAAGGGGGACCUAGAAAGUGGAAGAGCAAUAUUUGGGUAACAAUCAAGGGCAAGAAAGUCCCACUUUGGAAAUCAGGGCUGAUGAGAUAUUACAAGCAUGCCUCCAAUGAAGGCAAAUUGGGUUCAAGCAGUCGGCGUAGAGGGACUUUUCACAGGGAUGAAUUUCUACUUUGCUCCAAGUGUAAGAAAGAACGCAGGUUUCGCCUGCGAACGAAACAAGAGUGCAAAGCCUUCCAUUAUGCCUCCAUGAAUAAGAAGUGGAAAUGCUCUGAUCAUCCAUGCGACAAAAUAAAAUGCGGUGAUGAAGAAGAAAGAGCAAGUCGAAAAAGCUGUAGGGGUUGUCCUCGUACAUCAACAUGCAAGGGUUGCACAUGUUGUGUGUGUCUUGGGUGCCUCAGAUGCCGCUACUUGGACUGCGACUGCCGCAUCUGUGUUGAUUUCAUGCAGAAUGCCCAACCAUGAGCCCCUCUCAAUCUCAUCUCAUCCCUCCUUGUUCGAGAUUUUGUGAAUUUUAUUCGAGUAGUAAUUUUGGAUCUUCAAAAAUUUCCUUUGAUUUCAGAACAAGAUGGCCUUUUAUGCCAAUGAGGUGAAGAAAAUAAGCGGAUGCAUAGAAAGUACUUGAAGUUUGAAGGGUGAGAAUAGCAUUCACUACCAUUUUAGUUUUGAUGAAGCUA